CAGUAGCCACGGGAAUACAGAGGAUGCAAGCGUUAUCUGGAAUGAUUGGGCGUAAAGCGACUGUAGGUGGCUUUUCAAGUCUGCAGUCAAAUCCCAAGGCUCAACCCUGGACAGGCGGCGGAAACUACCAAGAUGGAGUACGGUAGGGGCAGGGGGAAUUUCCGGUGGAGCGGUGAAAUGCGUUGAGAUCGGAAAGAACACCAACGGUGAAAGCACUCUGCUGGGCCGACACUGACACUGAGAGACGAAAGUUAGGGGAGAAAAUGGGAUUAGAUACCCCCGUAGUCCCUGUCUCUUAUAC
rnacentral:rRNA from 1 species